CUAUUUACUUCCUGGUUGCACCACGAGACGAGGAUGGCUGCAUCACAGCUCCCAAACAAAAGUUAAUUAGUUUUAAAAGUAAGAGCUUGAAGUGUCUGCUGACAGGAAACGUGUCAUGGAUGACAAAAAUCCAGCCAUCUUAACGAGAAUCAGAUUGAGUUCACCUGCUCAUCGUUAUUUAAACCCCAAACACCAUAUCGCUCAUUCUGCCUUCAUCAUCACAUGGGGCAGCAGUGCUGAUUCACAACCCAUGUGUGCUUGCUCCCCCCUUUAUAUUUAACUGCCAUUUCUUGGGUUUGGAAAAUAAACCUCUGUGUGCAGAAGAGUGUCAUGGCUGAUGAGGCCAGAAGACCUCUCCUUCUGAACCUCCUCCUCCACUUCACACAUGAAUUAUGACUACUUCUGUCAGUUUUUUUUCAAACCCUGUCGCCAACUAGUGUUUUGGAGGUGUAACUGCAGAGUGACCCAGACACACCAGCACACAACUAUAAAGCUCACAACAGCAUAAGCGACGUGCGUAGGGUCUGCCACACGUCAAAAUCCCACUUCAGCCUCUCCCCUCUUCUACACCUCCCACACCUCAUUCAGCUUCUUCCUCCUGACUCCUUGAACCCCCCAACCACCUCCCCCUGUUAAACCAUGUAUA